rnacentral:snoRNA from 2 species
UUUUGCCUAUGAUGAAUUGCAACUUUAUUGCCUACAUUGUUUGACUAGUCUUCUGUGAUAAGAGGUGCAGUUACUGAGGCUUAA